rnacentral:rRNA from 1 species
UACGGAGGGAGCUAGCGUUAUUCGGAAUUACUGGGCGUAAAGCGCACGUAGGCGGCUUUGUAAGUAAGAGGUGAAAGCCCAGAGCUCAACUCUGGAAUUGCCUUUUAGACUGCAUCGCUUGAAUCAUGGAGAGGUCAGUGGAAUUCCGAGUGUAGAGGUGAAAUCGUAGAUAUUCGGAAGAACACCAGUGGCGAAGGCGGCUGACUGGACAUGUAUUGACGCUGAGGUGCGAAAGCGUGGGGAGCAAACAGG